rnacentral:rRNA from 1 species
CAUACCACCCUGAAUGCAUCUGAUCUCAGAAUGUAAGCAGGAUUGGGCCUGGUUAGUACUUGGAUGGGAGCCCAAUAAGAUUCUUUGUA